GAUGAACGCUGGCGGCGUGCCUAAUACAUGCAAGUCGAGCGAACGGACGAGAAGCUUGCUUCUCUGAUGUUAGCGGCGGACGGGUGAGUAACACGUGGAUAACCUACCUAUAAGACUGGGAUAACUUCGGGAAACCGGAGCUAAUACCGGAUAAUAUUUUGAACCGCAUGGUUCAAAAGUGAAAGACGGUCUUGCUGUCACUUAUAGAUGGAUCCGCGCUGCAUUAGCUAGUUGGUAAGGUAACGGCUUACCAAGGCAACGAUGCAUAGCCGACCUGAGAGGGUGAUCAGCCACACUGGAACUGAGACACGGUCCAGACUCCUACGGGAGGCAGCAGUAGGGAAUCUUCCGCAAUGGGCGAAAGCCUGACGGAGCAACGCCGCGUGAGUGAUGAAGGUCUUCGGAUCGUAAAACUCUGUUAUUAGGGAAGAACAUAUGUGUAAGUAACUGUUCACAUCUUGACGGUACCUAAUCAGAAAGCCACGGCUAACUACGUG
rnacentral:rRNA from 1 species